ACCCAUGAUAGUCGCAAUUGUCCCACAAAAUCAUCUUCAUAGCUUUUGGUAAGAACUAGACUUUGUGUACUUAAUCACAUACUUAUUAUAAAAAUAUAGUUAAUCUCAUAUUUAUUAAAUUUGUGUUCAUGUGCAGGGAAUAAUUUUUAGCAUUGGAGACAUCAUCUUUCUGCUACUACUUGGAAUGCAAUUAGUUGCUUUGAGAUAUUCAUUGAUUUAGUCUUUAAAUUGUAGUACAUUGGAGAGAUAUCUUUCUAUUUUGUAACAUUGUGUUAACAUUGGAGACAUAUCUUAUGUUUUAUAUUUGUCCGUUGUACACUAUGCUGCACCGUCUGCUGUUGAUGGGUUUGGGUACGUAAUUUUUGAGCUUCGAACCAGUUCUGCCAUAGCUGGAAUGCGUGAUCACCAACCUGUUCUGGCGAGCUUCGUGAAUUAUCCCACACAGUCGCGUUUCUGUUUUGCCAAAUUGCCCAGAUGAGCGCUGCAACACGGCCUGCAAUGUCUGCUAUAUUAUCAAAAUUGGGCAACCUGUGCAUUAGAAAUUUAGAAUAUAGCCAAGUCCAGCUGCUGUCCAAGUAGUAAUAACUUGUGGACAUAUAGCAAAAGCAUGUAAAUCAUGUUCGUAUCUGGAUUACAUAAGGGACAUAUUGGACUACAGUCCACACGGCAUUGUAGCUGCUUCAAGAAAAAUUUAAUUAUGCAUAUUCAUAGUACAUUUGAAGUGUUGAUACUUGACGAUACUUGGUCAUCAAUUUUCA
rnacentral:lncRNA from 1 species